rnacentral:tRNA from 1 species
GUUAGGGUGCAGAGCCCGGUAAUUGCGUAAAACUUAAACCUUUAUUGUCAGAGGUUCAAUUCCUCUCCCUAACA